UGAGACGAGCCUGGGCAGCAUGGUGAAACCCCGUCUCUACUAAAAAUACAAAAAAUUAGCUGGGCGUGGUGGCGGGUACCUGUAGUCCCAGCUACUCGGGAGGCUGAGGCAGGAGAAUUGCUUGAACCCAGCAGGCGGAGGUUGCAGUGAUCUGAGAUCACGCCACUGCACUCCAGCCUGGGUGACAGAGUGAGACUCCAUCUAAAAAAAGAAAGAAAGAAAGAAAGAGAGAGAGAGAGAGGGAGGGAGGGAGGAAAGAGAGAGAGAGAGAAAGAGAAAGAAAGAAAGAAAGAAAAAGAAAGAAAGAAAGAAAGAGAAAAGAGAGAAAAAAUCCAUGCUGGUAGUCACCUCCAAUCGAGACCUGCCAUUCGUUUUUUUUUGUUUGUUUGUUUUAUUUUUUUUAAUGGAGCAGGAGCUGAGUGCGGUGGCUCAUGCCUGUAAUUCCAACGCUUUGGGAGACUGAGGUGGGCCAAUUGCUUGAGCCCAGUAGUUUGAGACCAGCCUGGGCAACAUGGGGAAACCACGUCUCUAGUAAAAAUACAAAAAUUAGCCGGACAUAGUGGUGCACACCUGUAGUCCCAGCUACUCGUGAGGCUAAGGCAGGAGGAUCAUUUAAGCCUGGAAGGUCAAGGCUGCAGAGAGCCAUGAUUGUGUUACUGCACUCCAGCCUGGGCGACAGUGCUAGACCUUGUCUCAAAAUAAAUAAAUAAAUAAAAAUAAAAUGGAGGGGGAAAAGUGGAGAAAAGCAGACUAAUUUAAGAUAUAUUUUAGGGAUCGAUAGACAAAUGCACAUGCAAAUGGAAAAUAACAUAGUUAUCAUGGAAUUCUUUAAUUUUGCACACAUUUGAUUUCCUUACUUCAUGGGCCAGGAACUGGGAAGUGUAGCAUAGGGUGAGUAGGAAAAUGAGAAGUCUGCCUUCUUGUUUACUUCCAAAAUAACUAGAAGAGGAGAAGUCUGUCUUCCAACAUAACCUGUUAGGUGUUACCAAAGUACUGUGCAUGCAUUUGUGGUUGUUAAGUACUGGUGCCUUAAUGCAUUUUUAUCACACUGAAUCAUAGUAUGGCAUCCUUGUUAAGCAUGAUAUGUCACUUUGUUUGGUUCCUUUCUCCAGGACUCGAACUAAAGAGAGCCAAAAAAGGAUGCAGGCAUGCAGCUCUCUUACAACUUGAAACUAAACAGAAGUUUAGAUUCCUCUUUUUUUUCUUUAGAAGUUUAGAUCUGGGAUGGCAUCUAGAAGCCCCCUCUUCCCAGGUCUCUUGCCAAUCUUCCUGUACUUAGCCAGAAUAAAAGGGUGAUCCAAGAAAUUUCUCUCUCCCCAUCCAAAUCAAGAGUUGAUGACACUGCUGUGACUGAUGCCUUUUGUUCCCAGACCAAAUUGUUUUUAUUGCCUACCCCCUGCCGG
rnacentral:lncRNA from 1 species